rnacentral:rRNA from 1 species
UGGGGAAUAUUGCACAAUGGGCGCAAGCCUGAUGCAGCCAUGCCGCGUGUAUGAAGAAGGCCUUCGGGUUGUAAAGUACUUUCAGCGGGGAGGAAGGGAGUAAAGUUAAUACCUUUGCUCAUUGACGUUACCCGCAGAAGAAGCACCGGCUAACUCCGUGCCAGCAGCCGCGGUAAUACGGAGGGUGCAAGCGUUAAUCGGAAUUACUGGGCGUAAAGCGCACGCAGGCGGUUUGUUAAGUCAGAUGUGAAAUCCCCGGGCUCAACCUGGGAACUGCAUCUGAUACGGGCAAGCUUGAGUCUCGUAGAGAGGGGUAGAAUUCCAGGUGUAGCGGUGAAAUGCGUAGAGAUCUGGAGGAAUACCGGUAGCGAAGGCGGCCCCCUGGACGAAGACUGACGCUCAGGUGCGAAAGCGUGGGGAGCAAACAGG